rnacentral:rRNA from 1 species
GCCAGACUCCUACGGGAGGCAGCAGUGGGGAAUAUUGCGCAAUGGGGGAAACCCUGACGCAGCAACGCCGCGUGAGUGAAGAAGUAUCUCGGUAUGUAAAGCUCUAUCAGCGGGGAAGAAGGAAGACGGUACCCGACUAAGAAGCCCCGGCUAACUACGUGCCAGCAGCCGCGGUAAUACGUAGGGGGCGAGCGUUAUCCGGAUUUACUGGGUGUAAAGGGAGCGUAGACGGCGGCGCAAGUCCGGAGUGAAAGCCCGGGGCUCAACCCUGGGACUGCUCUGGAAACUGUAAAGCUGGAGUGCGGGAGGGGCAGGCGGAAUUCCUGGUGUAGCGGUGAAAUGCGUAGAUAUCAGGAGGAACACCGGCGGCGAAGGCGGCCUGCUGGACCGUAACUGACGUUGAGGCUCGAAAGCGUGGGGAGCAAACAGGAUUAGAUACCCGAGUACA